rnacentral:misc_RNA from 1 species
GAUGAAGAACGUAGCGAAAUGCGAUAAGUAAUGUGAAUUGCAGAAUUCAGUGAAUCAUCGAAUCUUUGAACGCACAUUGCGCCCAUUAGUGUUCUAGUGGGCAUGCCUGUUCGAGCGUCAUUAAGUCCACUUAAGCCCUGCCUAGUGUUGGGAGACUGCUCCAGCGGUGCUACCCUGUAGCUACCCUGCAGCUCCUCAAAGACAGCGGCGGAGUUGUGGUAUCCUCUGAGCUUAGUAACUUGUUCUAGCUUUCGAGUACACCACUUCCCCUGCCGUAAAACCCUUAAUUUUUAAUGGUUGACCUCGGAUCAGGUAGGAAUACCCGCUGAACUUAAGCAUAUCAAUAAGCGGAGGA